rnacentral:rRNA from 1 species
AUACGUAGGUGACAAGCGUUAUCCGGAUUUACUGGGUGUAAAGGGCGUGUAGGCGGUUUAGCAAGUAAGAGGUGAAAUUCCCGGGCUUGACUUGGGCGCUGCUUCUGAAACUGCUUUACUUGAGUGCUGGAGAGGAUAGUGGAAUUCCUAGUGUAGCGGUAAAAUGCGCAGAUAUUAGGAGGAAAACCGGUGGCGAAGGCGGCUAUCUGGACAGUAACUGACGCUGAGGCGCGAAAGCACGGGGAGCAAACAGGAUUAGAUACCCUGGUAGUCCGUGCCGUAAACGAUGAAUACUAGGUGUAGGGGGUAUCGACUCCCUCUGUGCCGCAGUUAACACAUUAAGUAUUCCACCUGGGGAGUACGGCCGCAAGGUUGAAACUCAAAUGAAUUGACGGGG